rnacentral:tRNA from 1 species
AUUUCAAUAGCUUAUAUACAGAGCAAAGCACUGAAGAUGCUUAGGUGGCUUUUAGCCUUGAAAUA